UUAAACUCCUAAGUUCAUAAAUCCAAGAAUGGGCCCCCAAGAUCAAACAUAGACCCUAAGAACAAGUAAACCAAAUCCCAAAAAUCAGAAUCCUUUAAACCCAAAACCAAUUGUGGCCCAACACAGAUUAGGCCCAAUUGAACCAAACCAGAUUACAGGUCCAGAUCAGAUCUCAGGCCCAAACCAACCCAGCCCACAGAUCCAAUUAGGUUCAACUCAGCCCAACACAGAUCCCCAACCCA
rnacentral:lncRNA from 1 species